rnacentral:rRNA from 1 species
UACGUAGGGGGCAAGCGUUGUCCGGAUUUAUUGGGCGUAAAGAGCGUGUAGGCGGUUUGGUAGGUCCGUUGGGAAAACUCGAGGCUCAACCUCGAGACGCCGAUGGAAACCAUCAGACUAGAGUCCGGAAGAGGAGAGUGGAAUUCCUGGUGUAGCGGUGAAAUGCGCAGAUAUCAGGAAGAACACCCGUGGCUAAGGCGGCUCUCUAGUACGGUACUGACGCUGAGGAGCGAAAGCGUGGGGAGCGAACAGG